AUAAAUAUAUUAGAAAACGAAAGAAAUUGGGAAGGCCACUUGAUAUGAAAUUCAUUACAUAAAGGCCCAAUACUGCAAAAGUCUUCAGACAGCUCCAAGAAUCUUAAGCUCAGAGAAUAUGAGCUAAUACACCAUGUACUACUGACAUGUACUAUUUGCAGACACAUCAUGCAAAAACAAUAGGAGAUAAAAAAAAAUAGAAUACUACGUUCACAGGUGGUCUAUGAGCAAAAGCUGCAACCUUUGCUCGCAAAGUAAGAAUAUCGAAAGAAAAUGCUCUUAAUAAACCUUAAUGCAAGUUCACAUUUUACAAGCUUGCAGAACUAAUGAUAAAAGUUCCAGAUUGGAGUGGCUCCUCACUCCCAUCAACAGGUCAGUGCCCUAGUAAGUUUAAAAGCACAGCAGAAACAAGUGUGCUUGGAAAUUUAAACGUUAAAAGAAAGCAGUAAUAAAGUGAGCAAAAGAAAAGGGAAUGAAAAACUCCCCAAAAUAUCGUUACUUGCUUAAAGACAACUGCUUCCUUCACAAAAGUUAUUCAUGUUAGAAGCACAAUCUCCUAUCCUAAACUCGUUCUUCCUUCACUUAAUCUACACAGACAUCAAAACUCAACCAAAAACAGAAACUACCACACAAACAGAAC